GAUCACACAGCACGGAGCAAGGCAAUCGAAGAAACACAGACCUUCCUAAACGGCUUAUUAAGCACAAACAACUGUGCCUGGCAGGCAAACUCACACACAGUGAGCCAAGGCUUGCUCUCCUGCCCAAGUCCCAGUGUUGUCUUUGCUCACCAGGGACCCCAAGGCCUGUGGUCUCUUUGCACAGCCUGCAAGGACAUCAAGGGACUGAGCCCCAGGCUGCUGGCGAGCUCGGGAUUGCAGCGGCUGCUUGGGCCCAACCAGCAUUUAAAUGACAAGUUUACUAAUGGUAACUGGAAGUGCUGUGAUGUCUCCCUGCUUCAAGUACAGAUUGCAACACCUGCUGGGACAAGACUCCCCCAAACCUGUGAGAUGCUGCAGGAUGCUCAGGGAAACGCUGCACAACCUGGCGAGGACUCAAUGUGAUAACGCUGAAGAGUGAUCAGACAGUCAACUAUGAAACCGCGGCGGCGUCUGCUGAGGAAAACCCACAAGCUGUCAAGAAAGCUGCGGGAUGUUUUGCGACACAAUCUAUCAACUAUCCAAGGUGAAUGCCUUUAUUUAUAGAUGGAUUUCUUUUCCUGUUGUAAUUCCAUGCCUUCUCAGUCUUACAGUAAGCCACCUGGCCAGUGUGAAUACGCACGUUAAUUUCAAGGUAAUAUAUUAUUCUGUAUAAUAAAAACAAGUUGUCUGGCUGUUUUUAGUGGAGU
rnacentral:lncRNA from 1 species